UACGGAGGGGGCUAGCGUUGUUCGGAAUUACUGGGCGUAAAGCGCACGUAGGCGGCUUUGUAAGUUAGAGGUGAAAGCCCGGGGCUCAACUCCGGAAUUGCCUUUAAGACUGCAUCGCUAGAAUCGUGGAGAGGUGAGUGGAAUUCCGAGUGUAGAGGGUGAAAUUCGUAGAUAUUGGGGAAGAACACCGGUGGCGAAGGCGGCUCACUGGCUCGUAACUGACGCUCAUGGCACGACAGCCGUGGGGAUCAAACAGG
rnacentral:rRNA from 1 species